UGCAAGUGAUGCAUUUUCUCACGAUGGUCUUCCAAGCCCGCAGGGUACUGACGAAAUGCCUUUUGGCUAAACUGAUGCAGCCAC
rnacentral:snoRNA from 1 species